GACGAACGCUGGCGGCGUGCUUAACACAUGCAAGUCGAACGGAAAGGCCCUGCUUGCAGGGUACUCGAGUGGCGAACGGGUGAGUAACACGUGGGUGAUCUGCCCUGCACUUCGGGAUAAGCUUGGGAAACUGGGUCUAAUACCGGAUAGGAGCCAUCUUUAGUGUGGUGGUUGGAAAGUUUUUUCGGUGUAGGAUGAGCUCGCGGCCUAUCAGCUUGUUGGUGGGGUAAUGGCCUACCAAGGCGGCGACGGGUAGCCGGCCUGAGAGGGUGUACGGCCACAUUAGACCUGAGAGACGGCCCAGACUCCUGCGGGAUGCAGCAGUGGGGAAUAUUGCACAAUGGGCGCAAGCCUGAUGCAGCGACGCCGCGUGGGGGAUGAAGGCCUUCGGGUUGUAAACUCCUUUCGCUAGGGACGAAGCGUUUUUGUGACGGUACCUAGAUAAGAAGCACCGGCUAACUACGUG
rnacentral:rRNA from 1 species